rnacentral:miRNA from 14 species
GUGCUGAGGGAGGGAUCAGGUAGGUUCUCUUAAGAAUGAGCCUGUGCCUUUCUCACAG